CCACAACAUGGGCUGACGACUAUGGCAACUCCAGGCCGUGUAGAGACAAAGCACGGUGCUGCAGUGCAUAAAUAAAAAGUCUACCCUAGUUUCACUUUAUAUAGGAAAAAAAAAUUCAAGGCUUCCUUGUGCAGCUUGUAAAAUAUCCAAAAAGAGAAGAAAAUUGACAAUCGCAUUGAUUAUGAGAUCCUUUUUUGCCAAUUUGGAUAUGGAAAAAUCAAAGCCAAAUACCACCAAUCAUGGAGAUAUUUUGCUAUUUUGGUCAUUUAUGAUCAAAAGAUUAAAGGAAAUUUUUUUGUAGAGAAUAAUCACAUUGAUUAUGUGGUCAUUCUUACCCGCUUGGAGUACAGGCCACACAAGGGAAAAGUUAAUAUUUCCCCAAUUCAGUACCCAUUUUGUCUCAAAUUAGUCAAAAUACAAGCUGCACAAAUAGUUACUUGCCUGCAUAGGCUAUAUAGUCACAAAAUCAAAUGCUUAAUACGUGCGUGGUACAUAGAGCUUCUUCCCAAAAGAGAUUACAAGAGUGGACCUAGCUCGCUGAUUUGGUUGGAGGCAUAUUAAAGGAAAAUAUGGGAUUUCUUGCCUUAUAAAAUGUUAUUAGAGAAGCUGUCUAAUGCUCCAAUUGGUCUUCCAAAAAUAUGCACUAAUGGUCAUGGUGAAGAAAGAAAGAAAGAAAAGUGCACUGAUUGGUACGAGAUUGGUAUCAACAUUUGAAAUGGUAUAAAAAAAGUAUAUUUGCCAUACGAGUUUUCAAGUCACACCACCUACAUGUGCCGGUUCCUCCAUCAUCACACAUCAACACUAAGAAAUCGAACAAAGCCGAAGAUCACCAGCCACAUGACAUUACUCGUGGUCCUGAUUGUUCAAGAACAAGCCUCGACGGCCCUUGAUGAAAUCACAAAUCCGAUUCAAGAUCAAGUGUGCACCACCCUUGAAUCAAAUUUGACUUCAAAAAGCUCUCUAGCCAAAACAAACACUCGUGUUCUUCAUCAAGCUCAUGGAGAGUCAACAAACACAACAAACACGUGCCGAUUCAUCCACUACCAAAGCCGAAGAUCACCCACCACGUGAAACCGCUCGUGGUCCAUUUCAUUCAAGACCACGCCUCGACAGUCCUUGAAGAAACCUCCAGCCCAAUUCAAGAUCAAGUCUCGACAGCCCCUGAAUCGACAACUACAUUGAAAGACUUCAAAGCAUAGUGGCCAAAUACAUUCACUAUGCACUUUAAGACCAAGCCUUGACGGCCCUUGAAGAAACCUCCAGCCCAAUUCAAGAUCAAGCCUCAAUAUCCUUUGAAUCGACAUCUACAUUGAGGGACUUCAAAGCAUAGUGGUCAAAUACAUUCAAUGUGUGCAGGAGUUCAAAACACAUCUUUUACACAUGAUAAGCACAUACAUACGACGCGCCUUAAAGUAGGGGCAUUUGUAGACAUCGAAAAUUCGGUGAAAUAAAUGUUCACCAACACAUUAAAGUUUCGACAUGCCAGGCUAUAUGUGGCAUGCGCCAUGUGUCUCACAAAUCGUACACAUGGACAUGACUCAUCAAAGUUGGAUGAGUCAUCAAGAAGCACACAUGUCAACACUUGGCGAAAAGGAAUUAUUUGAUUUUAAUUUAAUUUAAUCAAAUAUUAGUUGAUGGAGUCAAAUAACGAACUGGUCCACAAAUCGAGUCAUGGUUCUUUAGUCAAUUAAUCAAGUCCACAAUCAAGGCCAAAUCCAUAUGUAGUCAAAGCUUGGAGAGUGUAUAAAUAGGAGGCUCCAAGACAAAGAAAAAGGUUCAAAAAUCAUUUCACGCCCAGACGCUAAAGCUUUGAAAUUCUAAAGCUCUCGAGCAUUCAAAUUCCCAUACACUCUUAAACACUCAGGAGAAUUCAGAAAGUCCUCUACGUUCUUCAUCAAAACCCUUGAAGAAUCAUCAAGCACCACCACACGUGCCAGUUCUUCCCUCACCACAAGCCAAAUCCUUGAGGCAAUCGUUCAUCCAAGAUCAAGUCAUUACAACCUUUGGAUCAACAACCCCAACAUCACACAUCUACACAUUUCAGAGAUUGAAACAGAGGAUCAAGUUGUAAAGAGACUGUAACCCUAAAUUACAUUAAUACAAAUAUUCUUUGUACACGUGUUCUCUUAUCAUUUGUCGCAAGAAAUUUGUGUUUACAGCAUGCAUUAUGUUGCUUAAUGAACUUAGGUUUUCAAAUAUUUUCCUUCAUAACUCAUUCAAGCAAGGAAUCACAAUCAUAUAAAUCGAGGAUGCUACGAGAUAAU
rnacentral:lncRNA from 1 species